GAUGAACGCUAGCGAUAGGCUUAACACAUGCAAGUCGAGGGACCGGCGCACGGGUGCGUAACGCGUAUGCAACCUGCCUGUAAUUAGGGAAUAACCCGGUGAAAGUCGGACUAAUACCCUAUGAUUACAGAUGGGCAUGCGUCCCAUUAGCUUGUUGGUAAGGUAACGGCUUACCAAGGCAACGAUGGGUAGGGGGACUGAGAGGUUGACCCCCCACACUGUUACGGAGACACGGACCAGCCUCCUACGGGAGGCAGCAGUGAGGAAUAUUGGUCAAUGGGCGAGAGCCUGAACCAGCCAAGUCGCGUGAAGGACGACGGUUUAUGGAUUGUAAACUUCUUUGGUAGAGGAAUAUGUACUCUACGAAUAAGUAUCGGCUAACUCCGUGCCAGCAGCCGCGGUAAUAC
rnacentral:rRNA from 1 species